rfam:Triticum urartu cultivar G1812 contig184114, whole genome shotgun sequence.
UAUGUACUCCCUCUGUCCGGAAAUACUUGUCAUCAAAAUGGAUAAAAGGAGAUGUAUCUAGACGUAUUUUAGUUCUAGAUACAUUCUUUUUAUUCAUUUUGAUGACAAGUAUUUUCGGACGGAGAUACUUG